UUUUUGCACUCUAACUUUUGGGAUAUCUAAUUGAAAUAUUUUAUGGGUUUUCCUCAAUUCGAUCUAGCAAAUCUGCAAGGGGAAUUCCACGAAUAUUUUUAAACUUCAGCAUUCAUCGGUUCGAGAUGAAACUGAGAAAAGUAAAUGAGAUUGCGUUCAUUAUUGACCAUACCAUAACAUGAUAUUGUGGAUGGAAAACCGGUAAAGAAGGUGAUUUAUUAUAAAGGUUUCAUGGUAAUAUUUAUAAUUCGGGAUAAAAUACUUUUUGAUGCCUAAAAUUCGGUCCCUUCGAAUGAUUACUACUGCGUUACUUUAGUGUCCCCAGUUUUUUUCUAUAGUAUUCACAGUAUUGUACUAGCUUCCGAUUAAUUAAUAAUGUUGUUACUUCAUACAUAUUUACUGAUGGGCAUAAGUUGAUGCUCCUAUCGCUAGUUUGUAUUACAUUUUGUUUUUUCGGCUUUAUCAGAAAAAUUUGAGUUUUUAAUCGAGACUUUUGUAACGCAGCGAUCUUAACUAUAAAUGAUCAAGAUUAAUAUUAGAAAUACACUUUGAAGCUGCCAUAUUAAUGAGAUAUAUUGUUCAUAUUCAAUAAUAAAAUAAAAAUUUCCUAUAAAGUAACUUUGUUGUUUAAUUUUUCGCCCAUUGUCAUAAUAUGGGUAAAAUAACUUUAAAUAUAGCUGCAAAUGUAUGGGUAGUAAAAUUUGAACAACUGCAAAUCUAUGUCAACAUGAAAAAUUCGGAAAAUAUUAAUCACAAUUUAAAAUUUUUUCUUAGAAUUUUCCGCUUAAAUUGGGCAUCGAAAAGUAUUCUGACCCAUUUAACACAUUAUUUAAAAAUUAAAUUAUGAAUUUAUGCCCAGAAAUGGCCGUAUCUAUACAAUGUUCAAACAGAAGAUCGAAUUGCAAGUAAUAACUGACUUUAUAUUGUGGCAUAGGCCUACCAUACCCAAAGUGCGGUCAGCCGUUCUAACUUCUAACUUCUCUAAAGGGCUGCUUAUGGUUGCAUCGAUUUUUGUCAAGUAACGUUAAAAUUAUUCAGAUAUUGUGGAUUUAAAACAUAUACCAAUAGAUCAGGUAGUUCCCAUUUGUUUGUAUUUAAACGUUGAAAUUAGAUAGAGAAUAUGUUAUGAAGAAUAAAACGUAAGCAGGUCAUUUAGAUUUCUAAUUGUUAUAGUUAUUGAUAAAAACGGAGGAAUUUCUUAUGUUAUAAAUGAAAUUGAUUAUAGAUUUCAAUGUGUUAGGAAUUGGAGUCGUGUUAUUAUUAGGAAACCAAGUUGUACUGUUUGUUGUGGUCAUUGUUGGCCAAUAUCGAGUCGUAUUCCUUGUCGUUGACCAUGGUGGUGUUGUAGGCCAAGUUUCAGUAUUACCCCUUGACGUUGACCAUGUCCAUGGUGGUGUUGUAGGCCAAGUUCCAGUAUUACCCCUUGACGUUGACCAUGUCCAUGGUGGUGUUGUAGGCCAAGUUCCAGUAUUACCCCUUGACGUUGACCAUGUCCAUGGUGGUGUUGUAGGCCAAGUUCCAGUAUUACCCCUUGACGUUGACCAUGUCCAUGGUUGUGUUGUAGGCCAAGUUCGCUCUGACGUUGAUGUAUAUUCAGGAGAAGUAGCCCAUGUGGUAGGGUAUGGAUAAUACUUGACUUUUCCAACAGGAACAUUCAUUUUCAAGUCCCUUGCGACAAUAGGAUCCUUCAGAUUGCCGACAAUUGAUUUAAUAUUUUUUGGGUUUUGGAUCAACGAUUUAUUCGAAA